ACAGAGGUAGAGAGAGCUUGGUAGAGAGAGAAAGAUUGAGUGAAUUGUUCAUGAUCUUUUUUUGGCCUUCUUCUUGCAGCGCUCAGGCUACUUCGUCGUGCCACAUGAACCUCUGACGGACUGAAGUUUUAGGCAUACCAGAUAGAAGAGGAGCAGUAUGCAAGGUCAAGAUGAGGUCAAUUCUAGGGCGAAGCUGAUGAAGUAGUGAGCGAGGAUUUGUUUUCUGUCAGCUCAUAAUUGGUGAGUUCCUCUUGCUCUUUGGAUUCAUUUGCUUAUGAUGUGCACACCUAGGUUAAGAUAUGUUGUGUAUAUCACCUUUUGAUGCAAUGUUAUUUAUUAGGCUCACCUACAAAUCUGAAUCUAUUAAUUUUUAUCAACUUAAUAACUUGCAUAAGAAGGUUUAGCUACUAUAGUAUUCGGUUGACCAAACAUUAUUUGUGUUAUUGUACAAGCUCAAAUUACUGCCUGUGGUGCCAGUAUUAGUUUGUCAGACCAGGUGCUGCUGAAAGUAUAUUUCAGAUCAACAACCUGAUCUAAAAUUACAGAAAUAGACUACUUUGUGUUAGCAAUAGGGAGAUGUAUUUAUUGUUUUCAAUGAAGGGGGACCUUUCUUCUUAU